ACGAGGACAGCCCAGUUGGUUAAGGCGCGCGUUUGUGAACUGGUGGUCGCAGGUUCGAAUCCGGUUCCAAGCA
rnacentral:tRNA from 1 species